rnacentral:misc_RNA from 1 species
UUCAGGCUCUAGAGUUGCAAGAAACUAUCCUGAGGGAUGAAGGGGCUACAGCUAUGGUUGCAAAGGGGAUGCUUAAGAGCGGAUAUGAGGUAGGCAAGGGGCUAGGCGCCACAUUACAGGGGAUUGUUGAAUCCAUACCGACUAUCCAUAAGAUUGGCCGUUUCGGCCUGGGAUUUGAGGAAGAUGCUCUCAUGGAUGGGCGAUUUUGGAGGAGGA